AUGAAGGUUUACGUGCGAUUUUAUAACGAUAUCACAGACAAACGCAGUUUCAUUUUCUCUGAGAUUAAAGCGUUUGAGAUAAUGACGAUCUGUUCGUCUUUUUUUUUUUCUUCAGGUCUUUCUGGCCGUGGAUUUGGGGAGGAUCUUGUGGUUUUGUGCAAGCAAAUAACAUUUCCUUGCUGGAUCUGGCAGAUCGCAGACGAACGCUUAUGGUUCCAGUCAUUUUCAUGAAUUCAAAAUCAACUCACCAGUGAUCUUUGGGAGCUGGAGAUAAAGUCUUUCUGUUUAUGUAAGUAUAAACAUUACAUUCUGGUUAAUGCAUCUUGUCCAACAUCACUUGUGUAUCACUGCUCUAUUAACACCUGUUUUUUCCCCAUGAUUGCUGCAGUCCUACCCCUUUAUGUCUGUCUGCUAUGAUUUUCAACUCAAGAAACCACUGUUCAUGCUUCAUCAACACAGGAAAUGGUGGCCUUACACAAAUGAUUACAAUGACGAGUGGGUUGUUUUGUUCUGUGUCACCUUCCUAGAACUAAAAUUGCUUGAAAAACAGCCCAUAACCACAAGUGACUUAAAAGUUAUAAAACGCCACAUAUUAAUGAUUUUAUAAAGAUGAAACUCUUUUUGUUACUUUUAAAGGCAUAAAGUAGUCAUUUGAAAAUUUUCUUGUUAGCACCUAAGUCCACGUUCACUCAAACACACUUCCAUCAGUGCGUAUGGAGCGAAUCUAUUCUCUAUGCUAAUACCAACUAUGUUAUUGGUUCUUUCAGGCUGCCAGUUGCCCUCAAUAAGAGCAUUCACAGCAAUGAAGAAAGAGCCCCUUUUAAAGAGAAACAGACAGGGUCUUAGUAAACAGUCAAUAUACGGCUGCAGUUU
ensembl:lncRNA